GGGUUGUGAGGUUAAGCGACUAAGCGUACACGGUGGAUGCCCUGGCAGUCAGAGGCGAUGAAGGGCGUGCUAAUCUGCGAUAAGCGCCGGUAAGGUGAUAUGAACCGUUAUAACCGGCGAUACCCGAAUGGGGAAACCCAGUGUGAUUCGUCACACUAUCAUUAACUGAAUCCAUAGGUUAAUGAGGCGAACCGGGGGAACUGAAACAUCUAAGUACCCCGAGGAAAAGAAAUCAACCGAGAUUCCCCCAGUAGCGGCGAGCGAACGGGGAGGAGCCCAGAGCCUGAAUCAGCAUGUGUGUUAGUGGAAGCGUCUGGAAAGGCGCGCGAUACAGGGUGACAGCCCCGUACACAAAAGCGCAUGUGCUGUGAGCUCGAUGAGUAGGGCGGGACACGUGGUAUCCUGUCUGAAUAUGGGGGGACCAUCCUCCAAGGCUAAAUACUCCUGACUGACCGAUAGUGAACCAGUACCGUGAGGGAAAGGCGAAAAGAACCCCGGCGAGGGGAGUGAAAAAGAACCUGAAACCGUGUACGUACAAGCAGUGGGAGCACCCUUUGGGUGUGACUGCGUACCUUUUGUAUAAUGGGUCAGCGACUUAUAUUCUGUAGCAAGGUUAACCGAAUAGGGGAGCCGGAGGGAAACCGAGUCUUAAUUGGGCGUUAAGUUGCAGGGUAUAGACCCGAAACCCGGUGAUCUAGCCAUGGGCAGGUUGAAGGUUGGGUAACACUAACUGGAGGACCGAACCGACUAAUGUUGAAAAAUUAGCGGAUGACCUGUGGCUGGGGGUGAAAGGCCAAUCAAACCGGGAGAUAGCUGGUUCUCCCCGAAAGCUAUUUAGGUAGCGCCUCGUGAAUUCAUCUCCGGGGGUAGAGCACUGUUUCGGCUAGGGGGCCAUCCCGGCUUACCAACCCGAUGCAAACUGCGAAUACCGGAGAAUGUUAUCACGGGAGACACACGGCGGGUGCUAACGUCCGUCGUGAAGAGGGAAACAACCCAGACCGCCAGCUAAGGUCCCAAAGUCAUGGUUAAGUGGGAAACGAUGUGGGAAGGCCCAGACAGCCAGGAUGUUGGCUUAGAAGCAGCCAUCAUUUAAAGAAAGCGUAAUAGCUCACUGGUCGAGUCGGCCUGCGCGGAAGAUGUAACGGGGCUAAACCAUGCACCGAAGCUGCGGCAGCGACACUGUGUGUUGUUGGGUAGGGGAGCGUUCUGUAAGCCUGCGAAGGUGGCCUGUGAGGGUUGCUGGAGGUAUCAGAAGUGCGAAUGCUGACAUAAGUAACGAUAAAGCGGGUGAAAAGCCCGCUCGCCGGAAGACCAAGGGUUCCUGUCCAACGUUAAUCGGGGCAGGGUGAGUCGACCCCUAAGGCGAGGCCGAAAGGCGUAGUCGAUGGGAAACGGGUUAAUAUUCCCGUACUUGGUGUUACUGCGAAGGGGGGACGGAGAAGGCUAUGUUGGCCGGGCGACGGUUGUCCCGGUUUAAGCGUGUAGGUGUGUGUUCCAGGUAAAUCCGGUUCACUUUAACACUGAGGCGUGACGACGAGGCACUACGGUGCUGAAGCAACAAAUGCCCUGCUUCCAGGAAAAGCCUCUAAGCAUCAGGUAACAUCAAAUCGUACCCCAAACCGACACAGGUGGUCAGGUAGAGAAUACCAAGGCGCUUGAGAGAACUCGGGUGAAGGAACUAGGCAAAAUGGUGCCGUAACUUCGGGAGAAGGCACGCUGACACGUAGGUGAAGUGAUUUACUCAUGGAGCUGAAGUCAGUCGAAGAUACCAGCUGGCUGCAACUGUUUAUUAAAAACACAGCACUGUGCAAACACGAAAGUGGACGUAUACGGUGUGACGCCUGCCCGGUGCCGGAAGGUUAAUUGAUGGGGUCAGCGCAAGCGAAGCUCCUGAUCGAAGCCCCGGUAAACGGCGGCCGUAACUAUAACGGUCCUAAGGUAGCGAAAUUCCUUGUCGGGUAAGUUCCGACCUGCACGAAUGGCGUAAUGAUGGCCAGGCUGUCUCCACCCGAGACUCAGUGAAAUUGAACUCGCUGUGAAGAUGCAGUGUACCCGCGGCAAGACGGAAAGACCCCGUGAACCUUUACUAUAGCUUGACACUGAACAUUGAGCCUUGAUGUGUAGGAUAGGUGGGAGGCUUUGAAGUGUGGACGCCAGUCUGCAUGGAGCCGACCUUGAAAUACCACCCUUUAAUGUUUGAUGUUCUAACGUGGACCCGUUACCCGGGUUGCGGACAGUGUCUGGUGGGUAGUUUGACUGGGGCGGUCUCCUCCUAAAGAGUAACGGAGGAGCACGAAGGUUGGCUAAUCCUGGUCGGACAUCAGGAGGUUAGUGCAAUGGCAUAAGCCAGCUUGACUGCGAGCGUGACGGCGCGAGCAGGUGCGAAAGCAGGUCAUAGUGAUCCGGUGGUUCUGAAUGGAAGGGCCAUCGCUCAACGGAUAAAAGGUACUCCGGGGAUAACAGGCUGAUACCGCCCAAGAGUUCAUAUCGACGGCGGUGUUUGGCACCUCGAUGUCGGCUCAUCACAUCCUGGGGCUGAAGUAGGUCCCAAGGGUAUGGCUGUUCGCCAUUUAAAGUGGUACGCGAGCUGGGUUUAGAACGUCGUGAGACAGUUCGGUCCCUAUCUGCCGUGGGCGCUGGAGAACUGAGGGGGGCUGCUCCUAGUACGAGAGGACCGGAGUGGACGCAUCACUGGUGUUCGGGUUGUCAUGCCAAUGGCACUGCCCGGUAGCUAAAUGCGGAAGAGAUAAGUGCUGAAAGCAUCUAAGCACGAAACUUGCCCCGAGAUGAGUUCUCCCUGAGACUUAGAGUCUCCUGAAGGAACGUUGAAGACGACGACGUUGAUAGGCCGGGUGUGUAAGCGCAGCGAUGCGUUGAGCUAACCGGUACUAAUGAACCGUGAGGCUUAAC
rnacentral:rRNA from 1 species